GGAAGACAGGAGCCAUAGACAUUUCUCAGGCAUCCUUAGGCAGGAGAUCUGCCAAUCAGCCUGCAGCCAGGGGUGAGGUUGGCCAUUACUAUGAAAUCAGAAACACGAGAAAGAAUGCUUCUUUGGUUGUAGGACUAAGGACAGCAAAUGUAUCCCUCCAGAGAUAUCGAUCAAACUAUUUCUUAGACCCAAACAGUGACUCUUGAUUGUCCUAGAUGAUGUUCUCCAACUACAUUGGACAGCAACU